GACGAACGCUGGCGGCGUGCUUAACACAUGCAAGUCUACGAGAACGAGGUAGCAAUAUCUUUAGUAAAGUGGCGCACGGGUGCGUAACACGUAAGCAAUCUACCUUUGGGUCUGGAAUAACUUCGAGAAAUCGAGGCUAAUACCGGAUAAUGCAGCGGCACCGCAUGGUGAUGUUGUUAAAGUUUGAGUAAUGCCUAUAGAUGAGCUUGCGUCAGAUUAGCUAGUUGGUAGGGUAAAGGCCUAACAAGGCAACGAUCAGUAGCUGGUCUGAGAGGAUGAUCAGCCACACUGGAACUGAGACACGGUCCAGACUCCUACGGGAGGCAGCAGUGAGGAAUAUUGGGCAAUGCCCGCAAGGGUGACCCAGCAACGCCGCGUGGAGGAUGAAGGCCGUAAGGUUGUAAACUCCUGUUAGAGGAGAAGAAUAGUGCCGAUUGGAUCGGUAUUUGACUGUACCCUCAGAGAAAGCCCCGGCUAACUACGUGCCAGCAGCCGCGGUAAUAC
rnacentral:rRNA from 1 species